rnacentral:sRNA from 1 species
UUCACAUGCCUUCAUCUUCUUUCCACCAAGUUCUUCAUUUGUCAUGACAUCUAAGUUCUUGUCAUUUGUCAUGCCUUCAUAUUCAACAGCUCCAAAGGUGGGGAUCGCGUCGUUGAACACUUUAAUCGCAUGUAUCUCGCUGGAAUGCAAAACGGCAUCAUACUGAUCGGUUAUGGAGUUAUACCGAUCGGUUCUCUAUUUGGUCUCAUACUUAUCGGUUGUUGUAAGUAAACCGAUCAGUAUCAAUCUCCGUUUCCAGCUUCUUCUCAUUCUCGAAUGUGAUGGUAUUGACAUGCUACUUAGACUUUGAGUAAGAAACGAUAUCAGAGACUCGCUUCAAACUUCACAUAUCUCUUCAUCUUCUGUUGGAUUUAAUAAUUCACAUAUGACUUAUCAUAUGAAGAAAAGAAACUUUGAUUAUGUCUCUCGUUUCGAUUAUUUUCCUACUAAAAAUAAUUCUCAUUUUACAAAAGUUUCUUUCACUCAAACCAACAUAAAUAGGUAUACUCCUAUUUUCCCC